rnacentral:sRNA from 12 species
UACCGGCAUCCAAAUGGGGAUGACCGAAGGACCAAAUGGGGUCAACANN